rnacentral:rRNA from 1 species
AUACGUAGGUGGCAAGCGUUGUCCGGAAUUACUGGGUGUAAAGGGCGUGUAGGCGGGAAGGCAAGUCAGAUGUGAAAGCCCAUGGCUUAACUGUGGAACUGCAUCUGAAACUGUUUUUCUUGAGUACUGGAGAGGAAAGUGGAAUUCCUAGUGUAGCGGUGAAAUGCGUAGAGAUUAGGAGGAACACCAGUGGCGAAGGCGGCUUUCUGGACAGUAACUGACGCUGAGGCGCGAAAGCGUGGGGAGCAAACAGGAUUAGAUACCCUGGUAGUCCACGCUGUAAACGAUGGAUACUAGGUGUGGGAGGUAUCGACCCCUUCCGUGCCGGAGUUAACACAAUAAGUAUCCCACCUGGGGAGUACGGCCGCAAGGCUGAA